AGGCCUCAGCAGUGAAGGAGCUGCUUGAUCUACAGCAGAGUCCAACCUGUCGACUGGAGACUCUGAGGUGGAGGGGGAGAUCUAAGUGGAGCUGAGUGUGAAGAGGACAGUGUGUGUGGACGGAGGCUGAGCUGUGUCCUGAGGAUCCAGAGGCUGAAGCAGCAGCAGCUUGUGUGUAGUCUCCAAUCUACACAACCCCUAAUCUGCAUGUGUUUGUGAGAUGAAGCCGGAGCACCUGGAGAAAACACGUGGAGAACAUGCAGACUCCACACAGGAAGACCCAUCUGAACCGGAUUCAAACCAGCAACCUUCCUGCUCCGAUUGUGUUUAUUCACAUGAAGAAUGUGUUUAUUGAAAUGACACAAGCAGAAUAUAUAAACACUCUUUAAAGAGUCAUAUAUAGUGUAAUUAAAUUUGUCUUUAUUAUUGUCCACCUUUGUCCCUCAGUAUGUCUCCAUGUGUGUAGAACCACAUCCUGUGUAGAUGUUUGUUUAUGAUCUUAAAGUUCCAAAGAAGGAAGGCUGCCGUGUCUCCAGCUCUCCCACAGCUCUGCUCUUUUUUCUAUCUUGUUGUUAUUGAUUCUUCUUUAUUUUGCAUUGUGCACUCUGACAAAGCGAGCCCUAUCAUCAUAUGUGAUGGAGAACAACUUCUGCUCAUCGGGUUGACAGUGAAAAACACUUUUUAUAAUAAUAAAUGUGUAGGCCUACUUUGAAAUAAAUGAAACACAGAACUAUGCUUUUUUUGCUCUUCUCCAGCUUGAUACUUUUCAGCAGAUGCUGUGAGCUUGCUCUGGAAAUGUCUUUAAACAUUACAUGUUUUGUUGUUUCUCAAUUCCUCGUCACAUGAAGCAUAUACAGGUAAACCUGCAUCGUUGGCAGUGAAAGCAAAUGAAUCUGUCCACGCAGAAUUAAACUCUCUAUUUUCCUCCCAGACUUUUCUCUUUUGGGAUGUAUCCAUGGUUAGCUUACCGAGGCCGCUCUCGUCUGUUUCCCUGUCGGUUUGAGAUGCUGUAAGUUUUAUUUUGAACUACGUUAACGUCACUAUUCUUUUGAACUUUGGGUUAUAAUUCACAAAACCCUUUAUAAACUUUUCUUUCUGAAAUAAAGUUGAACUCUUUCCGCCAGACGAGGUGAGCUCAUGAAUGAUGGACGUGUUGGGUUGAGGAGGCGUCGCGAUGGAUCGUAGCAUCACACGACUCAGACUGUUAAUAACACACCAACCAUCUCCUUAAAUAUUAUAUAUACAUAUAUAUAAAUAAAUUAAGCUAAAAUGCAGUGCAAGUGCAGCAGUGUUCAUGAAGUCAAAUAUAUUAUAACCAAACUGAUCAGAAACACUUGAACAAACAUCAGUGAGAUAAGAACUGAAAUGACAGAAACAUCUUUGACAAACAUAUUUAACGUCUUUGAUUAUUUUUUUAUCUCCAUGUCCCAUCUGCUCACAUGGAGGAGGAGGUUUAUGACUUAUACUGCAGCCAGACACCAGGGGGCAGUGUCAGUCUGGUUCAGCUCAUUUGUUCAUGGUGUGUUGAUCGACUGUUCUUAUUGGAUGUUCCUUAGUGGUUAUUUUUUGUAUGAAUCUACUUCCUGUGUUGAGCGCGAGCUGCUGUUUAAAGACGUGUUUGACCUUUGACCUGAGCUGACCCGACAGUUCACUGUGACGAAGAGGAUGAAGAUGUGUAGUAUGUGUUGAACGUUGUCGUCCACUCAGAGGAUCAAUAAAGAUUAUAACUGACGAUCAA